AGCUAGACGCGGGAUUUUGUUUUAUUCUACUCAGGCGAGAGGAUAGAAUGCAACCCAAGCGAGGGAUAGUGCCCAGUAACGGCGAGUGAAGCGGCAAGAGCUCAAAUUUGAAAGCUGGCUCCUUCGGGGUCCGCAUUGUAAUUUGCAGAGGAUGCUUCGGGAGCGGUCCCCAUCUAAGUGCCCUGGAACGGGACGUCAUAGAGGGUGAGAAUCCCGUAUGGGAUGGGGUGUCCGCGCCCGUGUGAAGCUCCUUCGACGAGUCGAGUUGUUUGGGAAUGCAGCUCUAAAUGGGUGGUAAAUUUCAUCUAAAGCUAAAUAUUGGCCGGAGACCGAUAGCGCACAAGUAGAGUGAUCGAAAGAUGAAAAGCACUUUGAAAAGAGAGUUAAAAAGCACGUGAAAUUGUUGAAAGGGAAGCGCUUGCGACCAGACUCGCUCGCGGGGUUCAGCCGGCAUUCGUGCCGGUGUAUUUCCCCGCGGGCGGGCCAGCGUCGGUUUGGGCGGUCGGUCAAAGGCCCUCGGAAGGUAACGCCCCUAGGGGCGUCUUAUAGCCGAGGGUGCAAUGCGACCUGCCUAGACCGAGGAACGCGCUUCGGCUCGGACGCUGGCAUAAUGGUCGUAAGCGACCCGUCUUGAAACACGGACCAAGGAGUCUAACAUCUACGCGAGUGUUCGGGUGUCAAACCCGUGCGCGAAGUGAAAGCGAACGGAGGUGGGAACCCUUACGGGUGCACCAUCGACCGAUCCUGAAGUCUUCGGAUGGAUUUGAGUAAGAGCGUAGCUGUUGGGACCCGAAAGAUGGUGAACUAUGCCUGAAUAGGGCGAAGCCAGAGGAAACUCUGGUGGAGGCUCGUAGCGGUUCUGACGUGCAAAUCGAUCGUCGAAUUUGGGUAUAGGGGGCGAAAGACUAAUCGAACUGGUCUGGUAGCUGGAUAACAUGACAGAAG
rnacentral:rRNA from 1 species